AGGGCAUGAUGUGAGAAUCCUUUAAACAAUUUUUUAUACCUCUCUCAUGCUUCAAAGAAUGAUUCACUCUUCUUUUGAGAAAAAGAAGCGAGGUCCUUCCUUAAUCG